rnacentral:rRNA from 1 species
CCUACGGGAGGCAGCAGUAGGGAAUAUUGGUCAAUGGGCGAGAGCCUGAACCAGCCAUGCCGCGUGCAGGAAGAAGGCCUUCUGGGUUGUAAACUGCUUUUAUAUAGGAAGAAAAAGGUCUUGCGAGACCAACUGACGGUACUAUACGAAUAAGCACCGGCUAACUCCGUGCCAGCAGCCGCGGUAAUACGGAGGGUGCAAGCGUUGUCCGGAUUUAUUGGGUUUAAAGGGUACGUAGGUGGGCUAUUAAGUCAGUGGUGAAAGCCUGCAGCUUAACUGUAGAAUUGCCAUUGAUACUGAUAGUCUUGAGUAUGGUCGAGGUAGGCAGAAUUUAUGGUGUAGCGGUGAAAUGCAUAGAUACCAUAAGGAAUACCGAUAGCGAAGGCAGCUUACUGGGCCGUUACUGACACUAAUGUACGAAAGCGUGGGGAGCGAACAGGAUUAGAUACCCUGGUAGUCCACGCCGUAAACGAUGCUCACUCGAUGUUGGCGAUAUACAGUCAGCGUCCAAGCGAAAGCGAUAAGUGAGCCACCUGGGGAGUACGCUCGCAAGAGUGAAACUCAAAGGAAUUGACGG